rnacentral:rRNA from 1 species
GGGUUGUGAGGUUAAGCGAACAAGCGUACACGGUGGAUGCCCUGGCAGUCAGAGGCGAUGAAGGACGUGCUAAUCUGCGAAAAGCGCCGGUAAGGUGAUAUGAACCGUUAUAACCGGCGAUGUCCGAAUGGGGAAACCCGGUGCACUUUGGUGCAUCAUCGUUAGCUGAA